UUUUUUUUUAUUUAUUGUGGUUUAUCAUAGUAACACAUUUAAUACAUUUCUCUGUGCUAUACAGUAGGACCUUGGCCCCCUCCAUGUACAAUAGCUUAAAUUUGGUAACCCAACCUCCCAUUCUAUCCCUUUCCCAACCCCUACAUCCUGGCCUCGUUGUUCUUGCCCCUAAGUCUGUUUCUAUUUCAUAGAUACGUUCAUUUAUGCCACCCAGCUCUUCCUGAGUUCUACCCUUUGUUAUAAACUGGUAAUCUAGCUAGUAAAAUGUUGUUCUGAGUUCUGUGAGCUGCUAUAGUAAAUUAAUGAAACUCAAAGAGAAGGUUUUGAGAAUCUCUAAUUGAUAGCCACUAGUUCAGAAGUACAGAUAACAACAUAGAUUUGUAAUUGGCAUCCUAGUAGUGUUGCCAAAACUUGGCCUCUGUCCACUGUGUCGUGGUCUGUGCACAUGGGUCAGAAAAGAAUUUCCAGACUCAUAUCUGGGUGAAAAGAAAGAAGUUUAUUGAGCAUGGCAAAGUGGAGAGAAAGUACAGUUUAUUGAGAUAAGAGAUGCUGCAAGCACAGCAGGAUAACUUCCUGAUAAUCAGGGAGAGCUGACCCCAAAGAGGAAGAAGAGUUUAAGAUGAGAGAUGCUGGAGUUCCCUUUGUGGCUCAGUGGUAAUGGUAACAAAUCCAUGAGGAUUCAGGUCCAACCCCUGGCUUCACUCAGUGGGUUAAGGAUCUGGUGUUGCCAUGAGCUGUGGUGUAGGUCAGAGACAUGGCUUAGAUCCCUUAGCUGUGGCUGUGGCAUAGACUGGCGGUUGCAGCUCGGAUUUGACCACUAGCCUGGGAACUUCCAUAUGCCACAGGUGCAGUCCUGGAAAAAAAAAAAGUGAGAGACUCUGCAAGCACAGGGGUGACUUCCUGAUAAAUAAGGAGAGCAGAUGCCAAGCACAUGGUAUUACUUGUUGUUAUAACCCAGGGAGAAAAGAGGUCUUGUGACAGACCAGCUCUCCUGCUGAUUGUCUGUGGAAAGAAGGGUCUUACAAUACACUUUCUGGAUGGUUGGGAUCUUAUAAGAACCCUAAAGGGGCAGGGUGAGGGGUGGGUCACAUACCCGUCCUAGUACUAGAUAGGAAGGAGUAGGCCAGGUUGGUCAAUGUGGGAGAAGGGGCAUUACAGUGAGACUGGUGAUAAGGGUCUGAUAAUUCUUGGACAAAGGCUUUGAGUUCUGUCUCCUUGAAGGAGCCUUGAAGCCCAACACACUGGUGCUGAAUAGAAACUCAGAGACAGGGUUUUGGGCAAAGGAGAAAAAUGUAGCUUUAUUGCUUUGCCAGGCAAAGGAGGCCACAACAGGCUAAUGCCCUAAAGACUAUGCUCUUCUUUGGGAGAGAUUAGGAAGUGGUAUUAUAGUUUAGGAGUAGAAAGUAGGGCCACAGAUAAGGAUCAGGAUACAUACAAGCUUUUAUUGUUCUUAGAUUUGGUAUUUAGCAGCCCUAGGACCGGUUCUGGUGGUCUUCCUCUCUGGUUUUCAUUUGUUGGGGGGUUUAUGUCUACAGAAGAACUCAAAGGUAGUCUUAUGUGUAUUCCUUGAAGAGGAACCAGGACCCUGCCCAAAGGCUUCUCUAUUGUCUGUUGACUACUCCUCCCUUGUCUUGCAUCCCCUCCUUUCCCUGAUUAACAACUGUUUGAAUCUGGCCUUUUGAACUCAGUGAAGGGAAUGGAGGCUGAACUUUAUUCCCUAAAAUCAAGAAAUGAGGCUUCUGCUCAGGAGCCCCAUAAGACCCUUCUCUGUUUCAAUAGGAAGGGGUCCCUGCAACCUCCAUACUAUGGCCCAUCAGUUUGAAGCACAGGUUAACAGCCUAGACUAGCAUCUUGGGUCUAAAGUGGUGAUGGUGAGUGGGGGUGUCCUAAGUCUGAGCCUUAAACCUGUGAAAUACAGUGCUCUCUCUGGGUAGAUAAUGUCAGAAUUGACACCCUGCUGGUUUUUGAGAAAUGAUUGUUCCUGUGGGGGAAACCCCCACCCCUGCCCUGCAUUGGAAUUUGACUCUCUGAACACUGAAGUUGUUUGUUCCUGUUUAGAAUUUAUUCAGGAAAGAAAUUUUACACUAGGUAAAGUGAUUUGCUAAAAUUGCAGAUGCUGUUUAUUCUGGUUAUUCCAUUAAAUCAGGACUAUAUUUCUGAUUGUAUGUAGACACCAGUUUACUGGACAUAAUUUUGUUCCUAUAUUGUCUUUGAACUAAUAUUCUGCAGACUCUGCUGGUCAGGAACCCAUGGGAUGCUAGCACAUUGAAGUGGAUCAGUGCACAUUCAAAAUGGUUAGAUUAAUAUCAUCACUGAAUAUUAUCAGUGUACCUAGGGAGUAAUACUGCUUAUUCCUAUGAGUCUCCAAUGUUAUGAAACUGUCUUUUUGGUUGGAACCAUUGAAAAUAACCCAAACUCCAGGUCUUAGAUUCCUGAUUUAAAAGUAGGUACCAUUAAUUGAGCUCCUUUUGUAAGAACUUUUAGAUAACUUUUUUUUUUUUUUUCGCUCAGGUUCUUUUGACACACUGAGACUGUAGCAGUAUAACCAUAACUUUAUAUGCUUUUGAGAAUUCAUGAUAUUUUUGAUUUAAGCCCUUUUGCUGAAAAACUUUUUUCAUCAAACACACACACAUAUAUUCUAUAAAAGUCUUAAGAUCUUUUUAAGCAAUAUUUUUGCUGACCUACAUCAGGGAAAAAUCCUGUAUCUUCCAUGCACUCUGAUCUCUUAAAAAAUGAAUGGAAUUAUUUAAAAAAAACUAUAAAAAUCUAUUGAUAAAGGUUUAAAACUAACCAAACAGAAAACCACAAAACUGAAAACAAAGAUCAGACCACACAAGUCAUUCAGAGCCUAGGGCUUUGAAUAACUCAUGGAACCAACAUGUUGUAUAUGUGUCUGAGUCAAGAGUGAAGAAAGUUUACUUUAUUCUUAGACUAGUUAAUUCUAAGAAGUAAACACUCCUUUCUUGUUUUCCAUAAAGUUUCUCUGUCAUUUAGGGCCUCAGUAGGAGCUCCUCCAUGUUGCUUAGAUAAUUUUUGUUAUGCAAUUUUAUUGCAUAGAAAAUUAUAGAUUGUGGAAGUGAUGGUCCUUGAUCCAUGGCUGUUGUAUCUUAUAAUAUAUCAUAAGGUAUCCACAUUCAUGUACAAUAACCAGCAUGGUGAUGGCUGUAAGAAAUGCUGAAACAUCUGAUAUAGGUCUAGUAGGGUGGGAGGGAGUGUUGGGACCAUCUAUUGAAAUGUUUUCUAAGGAGGAUUGUUUGUAGAUUCUAAAUUAAACUUGUUUUAAGCACAUGUUGCUGACUCAGAGGCUCUGAUUACUUCAAGGUCAUAAUUCAAAUACAAGAGGUAACACAGGCUUCCUUGCUGUGGAUCUAGGCAAAUGGUCUUUUAAGGACAGGACCAACAUGAUUAGUUUUAUAUACAAGGGGAUCUAGAGAGAGGUUGUUGAGGUUAAUCUUGGGGCUAUUAGGGGGUCUCUAUAUAACGUAGGAAUUAAAUUGCUAAGCAGGAAUCUUUUCCAGAAGCUCCAUUAUGACUGUUGGUAACAUGUGGAUAUUGGGAGUCCAGGAGGCAGACUUGUGUGUUGGAUAAGGUUGUGGUUUCUGGGGUUAAGUCGCUAGGGUUCAAAUUCAAGCUCUGAACUCAUGGCAUAACUUAAGGCAUUAUUUGCCUCUGUGAGCGAUAGUUCCUUAUUUUUAAAAUAGGCAUUUUUACAAUACAUAAACAAGUGAAAAUGCUUACAACAACAAAUAAUUAAAUGAUAUUAUUUAAAUACUGCUUUGGUAAAAUUGUUUUGGCAUGUGGUUUCGGCUGUAGGGGUAGAGCUUAAGUGAUUAGAGUUGAAGCGAUCAUGAGAAAUGUAGUGAUCUUGGAAAUCUUGUACCACCCUGUGUUUUCCACUUACAAAUGAGCAGGCUGUAAACAGCUAGGAUGAGAUGGCAGCCAUGAACAUCUUGCUCUAAAUCUUCUUUUCUGCCUAAGCACAAAUAUGUCUUUUUUUUUUUUUUUUUUUUUUUUUGUCUUUUGUCCUUUUAGGGAUGCACCCACAGCAUAUGGAGGUUCCCAGUCUAGGGGUGGAAUCGAAGCUACAGCUGCUAGCCUACACCAAAGCCACAGCAACAUGGGAUCCAAGCUGUAUCUGUGACCUAUAUCACAGCUUACUGAAACGCUGGAUCCUUAACCCACAGAGUGAGGCCAGGGAUCGAAUCCACGUCCUCAUGGAUACUAGUUAGGUUUAACUGCUGAGCUGCAAUGGGAACUCCAUAAAUGUCCUGUCCUCACUGUCCUCUCAUUGAUGCCUCAUCUCCCUCUCUUUUCAUGUUUCCCUUGUUCUAGUUUGAUCACUUUUUCUGUCAAUCUAAGUUCUGUUGUUAUGCUUAUCCUUACUUCCUCAGCAAGUCCUGUUUUGUGAAUGUGUUGAUGAUGAAAAGGAGGGACAGAUUUUGAUUUUUUUAGAGUAAUUUUAGGUUUAUGGAAAAAUUGAGCAGAAAGUGCAGAGUUCCCACUCACUCUUUAAUCCUUCCUUCUACUACUUCCCCUAUUAUUUGCAUUUGGUAUUAAUA
rnacentral:lncRNA from 1 species